rnacentral:tRNA from 1 species
GGCCUCGUAGCUCAUCUUGUAGAGCAUUUACUGUACAAACGCAUAGGCGGCGUCCAUGUGUGGGUUCGAUUCCCACCGGGGUCA